UGGGGAAUAUUGCACAAUGGGGGAAACCCUGAUGCAGCGACGCCGCGUGAGUGAAGAAGUAUUUCGGUAUGUAAAGCUCUAUCAGCAGGGAAGAAAACGACGGUACCUGACUAAGAAGCCCCGGCUAACUACGUGCCAGCAGCCGCGGUAAUACGUAGGGGGCAAGCGUUAUCCGGAUUUACUGGGUGUAAAGGGAGCGUAGACGGUAAAGCAAGUCUGAAGUGAAAGCCCGCGGCUCAACUGCGGGACUGCUUUGGAAACUGUUUAACUGGAGUGCUGGAGAGGUAAGCGGAAUUCCUAGUGUAGCGGUGAAAUGCGUAGAUAUUAGGAGGAACACCAGUGGCGAAGGCGGCUUACUGGACAGUAACUGACGUUGAGGCUCGAAAGCGUGGGGAGCAAACAGGAUUAGAUACCCUGGUAGU
rnacentral:rRNA from 1 species